GCACGCACACUCUGACCAUUUCAUUUCACUGGAAAGUUGAAAGAAAGCAACACGCCAUCUGCACCCGUGUGUGCUCCGUGGGCUGGAACAGCGAAGUUCUCGGGCAGAGCCUUCCUCCCCGGAGCCGGCGAUGCAGCCGCUCUGAUACCUGCUCAGCUCCACGCGGCAUCCGAAGGUCUGUCCGCAGCGAAACAGUUGCGUCUCCAUCUGGCUGCCAACCCACCCAAGCUUUCUUCUCCUCCACCGCCGCCGCCACCUUCCUCCCCCCCUCCUUCCCCUCCUUUCCAUCUUCCCUCUCCACCCCCGCCCCCAAUCUCCUCCUCUUUUUCUCACUAAAAACGGUUGCUGCUGCUGAAGCCGAGCGUCACUUGGGCUCCCGCCGCAGACAUGGCGACAUUGACAGUGGUCCAGCCGCUCACUCUGGACAGAGAUGUUGCCAGAGCCAUUGAAUUACUGGAAAAACUACAGGAAUCUGGAGAAGUCCCAGUGCACAAGCUACAAUCCCUUAAGAAAGUGCUUCAGAGUGAGUUCUGUACUGCUAUUCGAGAGGUGUAUCAAUAUAUGCAUGAAACGAUAACUGUUAAUGGCUGUCCCGAAUUCCGUGCCAGGGCCACAGCAAAGGUAUUCUCGUGUGUACACUGUAAGAGAAUUUAGACAUCAGUGGCAGCCCAGAGUCUAGAACCAGUACUACUUCCCAGGCAACAGUCGCAGCUUUUGCUGCUAGUGAAGGCCACUCGCACCCUCGGGUAGUCGAACUGCCAAAGACUGAUGAAGGCCUUGGUUUUAACGUGAUGGGAGGAAAGGAGCAAAAUUCUCCCAUUUAUAUCUCUCGCAUCAUUCCUGGAGGGGUGGCCGAAAGACACGGAGGCCUCAAAAGAGGAGACCAGCUGCUAUCAGUGAAUGGAGUGAGUGUAGAAGGCGAACACCAUGAGAAAGCUGUGGAACUCCUCAAGGCUGCUAAGGACAGCGUCAAACUGGUGGUGCGGUACACCCCGAAAGUCCUGGAAGAAAUGGAGGCUCGCUUUGAGAAGCUACGGACAGCCCGGCGUCGGCAGCAGCAGCAACUGCUAAUUCAGCAGCAGCAACAGCAGCAGCAGCAACAAGCGCAGCAAAACCACAUGUCAUAGGUCCUUGAAGUAAAGCUACUUGAUCAAACAUCCGAUAGUCACAAAUUUGAAACCGUGCUUCUGAAUCCCAGCACAUAGUAAAAAGAAAAGACAACACUGAUAAUUAUACCUGUCAAGAAGCUGUGAACGCGUGGUGUGUAAAUUCUUUACCAAGGCAACUCGACACCUUCUUUAUCUGGGCUGGACCGGGCUGCUCGCUGCUCUUCACACACACAGACCUUCCAUUCACUGCAGUGGGAAUUCUGUGUGCCAGUGGAGAGGUUUUCCAGUCUGCAGACUGAAACAGUGUAAGAAUAAAGUCCAUGACUUUCAGAUUAAUCACCAGGGCCAGGAUUAAGUAAACCUUGGGUCUAUAGCUUUUCCAGAGAUGAACAAAACCCUCAUUAGGCUAUAGUUCAAACUGCAUCAGUUCAAUAUUGUCGCCACUUAAAACCUACACAUUGCUCCUCACCCUGACCUGUUUCAUGUCCAUACUGCUGAGCUGUCAGAAUUAGAAAUUGAGUUAAUUGCAAAGUCAAUAUCUUUCCCCCACUUGAAAACAAGUUAUUAUACUAUAUUUAUACUCUCUUCUGGUUCCUGAAGCAAUUGGCUUUUUGUUUUGUUUCCUUGAAUUUUAUUAUGCAUUAAUAGAGUAGGCCGAUAUAGCUCAACUUUUAGUUUGCUAGAAGCAAGGAUAGAGAAAUCAAGUACUGUAUUUUUUUUUAAUUUAAGCAUUGCUUGUAUCUAUUAUUAAUUCUAACAGAAUAUAAUGUAUAUUUAUUCCACAAAA